AUUGAAUUGGAACCCUCCGGCUUUAAGUGAAAUAUGGGGACUGGUAUUGAAUUCAUUGAAUUCUGGUCACCGAUAAGAAGUUCAGUUACCUGGAGAUCGUUGACAGAUCCCGGAGACCUUGAGACUCAAUAGAAAACCAGGAGGUCAGGCAGCAAGAGUGCUACAGCGUGAAGAUGGCAGCUGGAUCUAGAGCCUUAACAGCAGAGGAAAUCUCCAAAAAUAUACAGACAAACAGAAAUAUUACUAUUUCAAUUGAAAACAACUGUGAUUUCUGUCUAACAAACCCAAGGACUUACACUUUCAGUGGAUAUAAUGUAGAUCCUCCUCAGCCAACCAUCAAUGCAAAAACCACGGCCGUCUGUUCCUUCGGCAAAACCAAUUUUGGAGCACGUGGAGCUGUGGGCGUCUUAACCUACGAUGUCAUCAAGAACAAUGAUGCUGUCGAAUGCAUUGCCAUGAUGUUUUCUGUACCAUUUGAUUACAAUUUGUAUGAAAACUUGUUCUCUAUAGGGUCUGUUACUGUAGGAACAUCCUGUGAUAAUGCCCUAUACAAUCGAAUGUAUCAAGAGUGGGUGGAUGGUUUCACCAGAGGACAAGCAAAAACUGGGGCCAUAAAGUGUACUGGGGAAGUUGUUGAAAUAAAAGCCACAAUGUCUCCCGCAGGCAGGUCAAUAAUGAAAGUUGAAGUGUGGAACAAACGUACAUGUGCUUGAGACAUACUGUGCUUGCUUUUCAUUGAUGGCCUGAUAUUUGCAUGCAUUAAAUCAUUCUACUCAGCUAUUGCGAAACAGUCAUAUAGUGAGCACUAGAUGCAUUAUACUUUUUAUACUGUAUAAAAGCAUUUACAACAUGUAUAACAAACUAUGGAUUGUGUUGCAGCUGUUGAUAUAAAUGAACACUGUACUGUAUGGACACUUACAGCCUGUAUGUAGACUUAUAGCCUGUCAUCUUUUGGAGAGCUUGAUGUGAGAUGGUAUGUGUUUUUCUCUGUCCAACCUCAAUUAGCAGACUCAAUAAAAGGUAUUUCUUCCAAAGAUGAAGCUUAAACUGACUAACACUUGAACAAUGUAUAUGAAUUUGCUAUUUAACUGCUAACCCUAUUUCCAUGAACAGUUCUUACACUGUAAACCCCGAUAAGUUCUGCUAACUCAAAAAAAUUGAGGCAACUGAUUGCCUUUGUUUUUUUGAGUAAUGAAACUUAAAAUGGAAAUGUAUACAGUACUUACUAUUCUUAGUUGAUAUAACUUUCAAGUUUAAUUAAACUAUACUUUAAAAUAGUAUGAUGAUGAACUCAAUUAUUUUCUACUUAAAACUCAAUACAUUGAAUUAACAACAACUUACCAUUUGAAGUGUACUUAAUGUAUACAUAUUAUGUUGUCAUAACUUAAUGUGUUUGUGUUCUGCU